CGGCCUCCCAAAGUGCUGAUUGUAUCCCCAUUUUAUAGAGGAGGAGAUUGAGGCCUGGAGACAGAAGUGAUUUGGGCAAGGGCCGCAUUGCUGGGAGGCAGCAGAGGAGCCAGAAUUCAAACGCAAGCCUGACUGUCCAUGGGAGUAUCUUUUUAGUUUCUUGAAAAAUACCAAUGUUGGCCCCUCAGGGCUUCCUCCUGCCUCUGCUGUGCCUCUGCCUGACAUUUCCUCUGCAUCCUCCAAGUGCUUCCCAGGCUGGCUUCUUCUUGCCCUGCUGGUCUCUGUUUAAACAUCGCCCUUUGAGGAGGCCUUUCCUGACCCCUCCUCCCCCCGCCGCAUCUACCAGCGUAAUUCUGGCUCUUUGAGUGGUUUACUGCGUCACAAGUCACAAUCACUUAUUAACUUUUUGUUUGCUUCUUUUAUCUAGACGAGGGCUUUAAUUUCAAGGAGCUCACAUUCAAAUGGAGCAGAAAGGCACUGAACCCAGAAACAAAUAAUUCUCUAGGAUGGUGGACACAUGGGAAUAAGUGAGAGGAUAACACCCAUUUUGCAGAGGAGGAGAUGGAUAUUCAGAGAGGCUGGAAGUGCAUUUGCUAAAGAACCUCACUUCUACCGAUCUCAUUUUCCACGCACUUACAAACGGACCAGAGGUUGCAAAAGUGAGUCUCUCCUCGCUUCUACCGAUCUCAUUUUCCACGCACUUACAAACGGACCAGUGGUUGCAAAAGUGAGUCUCUCCUCGCUGAACUGCUCUGUUGUUUCCAGUUUCUGAGGGGCCAUCUCGGGCAAGGCUUGGAUGGGGCAGGGCCUUCUCUAGGUCUUGGGACCGCCCCUCAUUGCAGGAGACAAAACUUCCCACAUCCCACAUCCAGGCUUCUCUGAUGUCCCCUCCCCCGCACCCAACCCGCACCCAUCUUCCCUGUUUCAACCCUCCAACUCCCCUCUCCCCAGCAUCUCCAGGGGUCUGCGUUCUCCUUCCCAGCCCUGGGAGCUUUAUUUCAAGCUGAGAUACAAUGACACAUCAUGUUCCUUUUCUCUUUCCUUCUUCUUUUUAAUAAAGC
rnacentral:lncRNA from 10 species